UACGGGGGGGGCAAGCGUUGUUCGGAAUUACUGGGCGUAAAGGGCCAGUAGGCGGCCAACUAAGUCCGACGUGAAAUCCCAAGGCUUAACCUUGGAACUGCGUCGGAUACUGGAUGGCUUGAAUUCGGGAGAGGGAUGCAGAAUUCCAGGUGUAGCGGUGAAAUGCGUAGAUAUCUGGAGGAACACCGGUGGCGAAGGCGGCAUUCUGGACCAUAACUGACACUGAGAGACGAAAGCCAGGGGAGCAAACGGG
rnacentral:rRNA from 1 species